CCUACGGGAGGCAGCAGUGAGGAAUAUUGGUCAAUGGGCGUAAGACUGAACCAGCCAAGUCGCGUGAGGGAUGAAGGUUCUAUGGAUCGUAAACCUCUUUUGUCAGGGAAUAAAGUGUGGGACGUGUCCUCUUUUGUAUGUACCUGAUGAAUAAGGAUCGGCUAACUCCGUGCCAGCAGCCGCGGUAAUACGGAGGAUCCGAGCGUUAUCCGGAUUUAUUGGGUUUAAAGGGUGCGUAGGCGGCCUUUUAAGUCAGCGGUGAAAGUCUGUGGCUCAACCAUAGGAUUGCCGUUGAAACUGGCGGGCUUGAGUAUGUUUGAGGCAGGCGGAAUGCGUGGUGUAGCGGUGAAAUGCUUAGAUAUCGCGCAGAACCCCGAUUGCGAAGGCAGCCUGCCAAGCCCUCACUGACGCUGAGGCACGAAAGCGUGGGGAUCAAACAGGAUUAGAUACCCUUGUAGUC
rnacentral:rRNA from 1 species